GAAGCGCGCCAGGCCGUCGCUGGCACAGCCCGCAAGGGAACCCGAAAGGGAGUGCUGGAGGAACGUCCGGACUGCACAGGACAGCGUAGGAGGUAACACCUCUCCACCGACAAGCCAGAAGGGUUCGCCUGGAUGGCCCUAAGGUGAGGAUCAGAGCAACAGAGACGAGUCACCUGUGGUGCCGCAGCGUAGGCGAAAGCCGAAGCUACGAGCAACCAAGGUGGGUGAAACGGGCAAUCUCUACGCGCAGCAAUACCAAAUAGGCCAGCGUUGACGUGGUUCCGCGGAGCUGGCGGGUAGGUAGCACCGAGCCGAUUG
rnacentral:RNase_P_RNA from 1 species